GGAGGUAGAGUUCAGUGGUAGAGCAUGUGCUUAGCAUGCAUGAGGUCCUGGGUUCAAUCCCCAAUGCCUCCU
rnacentral:tRNA from 1 species